rnacentral:misc_RNA from 1 species
UCAUACAAUGGAGGUGCGAGGGCUGUCGCUGGCCUUCUAAAAGGUCGUGCACGCCCGAGCACUCUCACUCAUCCAUCUCACCCCUUUGUGCACAACCGCGUGGGUUCCCCUGGAAGGGGGGGCCCAUGUCUUUUCACACAAACCUCAAAGUAGUGUAGAAUGUAUUUUCUUUUUGCGGUGAUACGCAAUCAAUA